UACAGAGGUCUCAAGCGUUGUUCGGAUUCAUUGGGCGUAAAGGGUGCGUAGGUGGCGCUGUAAGUCGGGUGUGAAAUUUCGGAGCUUAACUCCGAAACUGCAUUCGAUACUGCGGUGCUUGAGGACUGGAGAGGAGACUGGAAUUCAUGGUGUAGCAGUGAAAUGCGUAGAGAUCAUGAGGAACACCUGCGGCGAAGGCGGGUAGCUGGGCCGACACUGACGCUGAUGCGCGAAAGCCAGGGGAGCGAACGGG
rnacentral:rRNA from 1 species